AGUAACACGUAAACAACCUGCCUUCAGGAUGGGGAUAACAGACGGAAACGACUGCUAAUACCGAAUACGUUCCACGGGCCGCAUGACCUGUGGAAGAAAGGGUAGCCUCUACCUGUAAGCUAUCGCCUGAAGAGGGGUUUGCGUCUGAUUAGGCAGUUGGUGGGGUAACGGCCCACCAAACCAACGAUCAGUAGCCGGUCUGAGAGGAUGAACGGCCACACUGGAACUGAGACACGGUCCAG
rnacentral:rRNA from 1 species